CUCCAACCGCGACAAUUUUGACAGUAAAGCGAUCAGUAGGUGUCAAAAGCUUUGUGGGUCUGCAGACCCUGCAACAGGGCGCAUUACAGACGAAAACAGAGGUUUGUUUACAAACAAACGAAAACAGAGCAAUAAAAUGGGUAGCAAACCGGAGCAAAAAAGAUACGUAAAACUGGUAAGUAUGUUUCGGAUAAAUGCGUAGUGAGCUUGGUUAUCCGGAACGCUCCGGAUCCGGUGGACGGAACAAUUAGUUAUGAACAUCGAAGUUAAUGUUUUGGUUAGUGCUUCUUCGACUUCAGCAUGAAUAAUGACGCGUAUGUUAUCCAUGGAACCAUCUCUCGCUCCUACCUGCGGUUUUUACCGACAAACCAUUCACCGACGGACUCGGCGUCGCCCAUCCCUUCGCGACGAGUAACAAGCUGCACGCCAGACGCCGUCCGGGAUUUCCCCGAGGCAUAGCUGGAAACACAAGCUUACAGAUUCCUGUACAAAACAAUC